UCGUCCCUGUUUUCACGAAGUGACGGAUAAGAGGAAAAUUUUCACUUUUUUCAAUUUUGAGUUUUUUGCAUUUUUGGACAUCUAUGACUUAUAUCUUGAACCUCAAAAAGUUUCAGAUCACAGUAAUGUCUAAUUACGUUGCUAUGACGACAUGACAUUCAAUAAAAUACCGGGUAAAAGGAUUUCUUGUUUUCACGAAGUGACGGAUAAGCAGCCGUCAUUACGUGAAAACAAACGAAUACGCUUUGCACUCAAAGAGUUUUUUCACGAAGUGACGGAAGGCAAAUAUUUACAGUUUGGAACAGCCGAAGACCAUGAAAUGAUGCAGUAUAUACAAUAAGUGAUGUUUCAGAGAACAAAUGAGAGAAGUCCUGGAACUGGUACACUUGUUGCUGAUGGUCAGAUACAAUUCCAGGUUACAUCCAGGGGCCGACACACUUGUCAGAUGUGUCAUUGAUGAUUCCCUGAACAUCGCAGAUAUGAUCUGAUUUGGUGACAUGACAGUGGAAUUGGUAGUGACUGGAUUUUUAUAGUGUGCCCUGGUUUUGAACUAUUGAAGUAACCAAACUAGAAACAUCUUCUGAGAACUCUGACUGCAAUUCUAAUGAUGAAACUCUGUCUACACUUGUGAAAAUGUGAAGGAGUUGGCUCUACCUCGUGGCCUUUCAGGUUCAGUGCUCUCAUCUAACUUUCUUUUUCCAGCUGGGUAACUGAUAUCAAUUUUAAUUUUCUUGAGAUUUUGACUUCAACAUAAGUUUAGUUUUAAUUUUGAUAGGACUUUCAAAUCUGGUUUCAUUUUUAGAGCAGUGUAUUAUAUAAAGAAACUAUACUGCUUGAACUAUAAGUCUCUGCUCUUAUAGUGUUAUGAUUAUGAACUCCUUUAAAAAUAUUUUAUAUAUACAGUCAAAUAUAAAGUUCAGAAUAGUCACUUAUCUUCUAUACUUACAUGUUAAAAUUGCUUAUACACAUCGUCCACAUAUGGAUGCAGAAUAAUUACCGUUUUUCAUUCAUUUGAUUCGCAUGUUUUCAUUUUGCUUGGUGCUAUCUAAAAAACAGAAAUACUGCAUAUUUCUACAUUUAAAAUAAAACUGAAUGUUAUUAGCUGUAUUGUGCUUAAAUGAAUUGUGUUAAUACUACAUAUUCUUUAAUAAUAACAAUCAUACAAUUUAGACUGACAUGCAUUGUGAAACUCGAUAGCUGCAUGAUAUAUUACUAGUAAGGAUGUAGGGGUGAAAAUCAUAUUAGGUUUUUGUAAAUUCAUUUUCAAAAGCCAAAUGUAUUAAUACAGACACCCCCCCCCCCCUCUUCCAUGAGGUAAUGUUUCAUUGGUUUAUCAGGGGUGUGAGAAUUCUUAAGCUGAUUUUAGUUAUUUUUU
rnacentral:lncRNA from 1 species